rnacentral:rRNA from 1 species
GACUGCUAAUACCGCAUAAGCCCACGGGUCGGCAUCGACCUGAGGGAAAAGGAGCAAUCCGCUUUGAGAUGGCCUCGCGUCCGAUUAGCUAGUUGGUGAGGUAACGGCCCACCAAGGCGACGAUCGGUAGCCGGACUGAGAGGUUGAACGGCCACAUUGGGACUGAGACACGGCCCAGACUCCUACGGGAGGCAGCAGUGGGGAAUAUUGCACAAUGGGGGAAACCCUGAUGCAGCGACGCCGCGUGGAGGAAGAAGGUCUUCGGAUUGUAAACUCCUGUUGUUGAGGAAGAUAAUGACGGUACUCAACAAGGAAGUGACGGCUAACUACGUGCCAGCAGCCGCGGUAAAACGUAGGUCACAAGCGUUGUCCGGAAUUACUGGGUGUAAAGGGAGCGCAGGCGGGAAGACAAGUUGGAAGUGAAAUCUAUGGGCUCAACCCAUAAACUGCUUUCAAAACUGUUUUUCUUGAGUAGUGCAGAGGUAGGCGGAAUUCCCGGUGUAGCGGUGGAAUGCGUAGAUAUCGGGAGGAACACCAGUGGCGAAGGCGGCCUACUGGGCACCAACUGACGCUGAGGCUCGAAAGUGUGGGUAGCAAACAGGAUUAGAUACCCUGGUAGUCCACACCGUAAACGAUGAUUACUAGGUGUUGGAGGAUUGACCCCUUCAGUGCCGCAGUUAACACAAUAAGUAAUCCACCUGGGGAGUACGACCGCAAGGUUGAAACUCAAAGGAAUUGACGGGGGCCCGCACAAGCAGUGGAGUAUGUGGUUUAAUUCGACGCAACGCGAAGAACCUUACCAAGUCUUGACAUCCCUUGACGAACAUAGAAAUAUGUUUUCUCUUCGGAGCAAGGAGACAGGUGGUGCAUGGUUGUCGUCAGCUCGUGUCGUGAGAUGUUGGGUUAAGUCCCGCAACGAGCGCAACCCUUAUGGUCAGUUACUACGCAAGAGGACUCUGGCCAGACUGCCGUUGACAAAACGGAGGAAGGUGGGGAUGACGUCAAAUCAUCAUGCCCUUUAUGACUUGGGCUACACACGUACUACAAUGGCGUUAAACAAAGAGAAGCAAGACCGCGAGGUGGAGCAAAACUCAGAAACAACGUCCCAGUUCGGACUGCAGGCUGCAACUCGCCUGCACGAAGUCGGAAUUGCUAGUAAUCGUGGAUCAGCAUGCCACGGUGAAUACGUUCCCGGGCCUUGUACACACCGCCCGUCACACCAUGAGAGCCGGGGGGACCCGAAGUCGGUAGUCUAACCGCAAGGAGGACGCCGCCGAAGGUAAAACUGGUGAUGG